ACUCAAAGGAAUUGACGGGGACCCGCACAAGCGGUGGAGCGUGUGGUUUAAUUCGACGCUAAGCGAAGAACCUUACCAGGGCUUGACAUCCCGGGAGUCUCUUGGAAACAAGAGAGUGCCGCAAGGAGCCCGGUGACAGGUGUUGCAUGGCCGUCGUCAGCUCGUGUCGUGAGAUGUUGGGUUAAGUCCCGCAACGAGCGCAACCCUUGUCGUAUGUUGUAUUUUUCAUACGAGACUGCCUCGGUCAACGAGGAGGAAGGUGGGGAUGACGUCAGGUCAGCAUGACCCUUAUGCCCUGGGCGACACACGCGCUACAAUGGCCGGUACAAUGAGUCGCGAACUCGUAAGAAGGAGCUAAUCUCAUCAAAGCCGGUCUCAGUUCGGAUUGAGGGCUGCAACUCGCCCUCAUGAAGCCGGAAUCGCUAGUAAACGCGGAUCAGCCAUGCCGCGUUGAAUACGUUCUCGGGUCUUGCACACACCGCCCGU
rnacentral:rRNA from 1 species